UACGAAGGGGGCUAGCGUUGCUCGGAAUUACUGGGCGUAAAGCGCACGUAGGCGGGUCAUUAAGUCGGGGGUGAAAUUCUGGAGCUCAACUCCAGAACUGCCUCCGAAACUGAUGAUCUUGAGUUCGGGAGAGGUGAGUGGAACUGCGAGUGUAGAGGUGAAAUUCGUAGAUAUUCGCAAGAACACCCAGUGGCGAAGGCGGCUCACUGGCCCGAUACUGACGCUGAGGUGCGAAAGCGUGGGGAGCCAAACAGG
rnacentral:rRNA from 1 species